rnacentral:ncRNA from 1 species
UGAUAGCGAUGAAGCGUGAGGUUGCUGCUUCCCAGCAAUGGGAUUCAGGUUUUUCCGUGGAGCGAAUGUCAAGUUAGAAAACUGACGACAA